GAAAGGUAUGCGCCCUUAUACAGAAUGAAAUAACAACCUUAUUACACCAAUUGUGAAUGCAUAAAAUCCGCAGUCUACUCAUUUCCAUGUUAAUGAUAAAUGGUUAUCCUUUAACGGUUCUUUCUAAUGGUGGGACAUUUCCAUUCACAGCCAAGCCUGCGUCCUGAUUAGAAUGUGAGUGCGCUGCAAAGAAAACAACAACAAUAGAUUAAGCACAACAAAUUAUUAGAGUUUUCAAAUAUUAACAUAAUCUUCGCUAUUUGAAAAAUCGUGGCGUACGAAUAUACCUCUUCUUAAAAUUUAGGGGAAAAUUUAGGGAAUUUAAAAAAUGUUGAGAGGCACUGGCUUACGGUAAGUCGCGAAAUUGGGAAUCCGACUCGAUAUCGAGAGUGGUUGAGACGAUCGGCACGAUUCCAAAAAGCAGGCAAUCCCCGAUAAUCUCGAAAUAACGAGAACCUCGUCCCCUCUCUUGCAGCAUCCGCGAAGACGCGUCGCGGUUCUGUUUUCCGUCUUCGUCGCGCGAACGACGCGACAGUCGUCCCCUCUCCUUCUCACCCACGGCUACACGAUCGCCGAUAUUUUUGGUCGUGGCGCGACGAAGACGCGAAGAUAGUCGCGCGCGUGCGAGCAAAGGAGACGGUCGCUCGACGGUAGUCGAAGGAAAAAGGACAGUCGAGAAUCGAGAAGGAGAAAGGAUACGCGGGUGCACGAGAAAGAAAAGGAUGGGACGACGAAACAAGGAGAGCGAGAGCAUCAUCGUGAAAACGGUUAGCGCCGUCGGCGUAACCUGAGAGCUUCUCGGACCCCGCGACCAUAUAUGUCCGCCUCUCGCUCUCUCUCACUCGCGCCGAUCGCAAGCACAUCGCGCCAUCUUGCUUUCACCUACAGUUGGAAACUAAUCUUUUUGGCGGUCUCCUCGUUCGCUUUUUUUUUCAUCACGACGCCCUAUACGAUCCACCUCGACGCUGUUAAUUUACUGGGAAAUGAGUCAAAAUUCUGUCUGCCCCUGCUUCACGCCAAUCUCUACCAUUCUAAAGGAUUUAUAAACGAAAUGUUGUUGUAAAUCGUACAUCAACUUUGAUAAUCCAUAAAGGAACAACAUAUUUGAUGUAGUAAUAGCAGCGUAAAGAAUCUGAAACAGGCAUCGCAAACGAACAAGGUUAAGUAACAUUCGAAUCGAAUUUUAGAAUGAAUAAUCAGCACGUUAUCUCAAACCACCUGAUGUUGAAGGUUAAACCGUUUAAAUUAAUUUAUGUUUCGAUUUUUGUAUGAACUCUGUUCUCGAUCGAUAAAUUAGGGACGACUAAAUACUGCUAUGCGGCGCCACUUACUUAAUGGCGGAGUUGUAGUUCCUGUUCUCACCGUAAGAACUGUUCCUAACCGACUCUACUUUAAAAAUUCUCGCGAAAUAAAUAUAAACCCGAGGACUCUCUCCACCUUAUAUUCAACUAUACAAAACUAUAGAAGUCUAAACCGAGGACGACAGGAAUUUCCCUCAACCUAAAAAAAGAACUUCGUUCAUCCGACCUGUUGAAUGCUUGAGCAUACUUCGUCAUACUGGCUCCUGUUUAACGAGGUGACGAGAAAUAAAGGCAACAAACACGAGGUACACGAUGCAUUGGCCGGCCCGAUUCCUUCCAGGAGGGGGAUCCCCGUUAUCUGCAUACGUAUUCAGCCGUGGACGCGACAGUGUCUUUUUGGCACGCUUUCUUCGAAAAAACGCUUCAACCCGAAGACACGGAAAUCGAAUAAGAGCGGAUAACGGACUUUUAAGAAUUCUUACAAAGUUUACUCUUUAGGAACGAUGGGAAGGUGCUGAAAAUUUACUGGAGUCAUGGAGGUAUUCCUUUGUUUAAAAUAUAUGGAGGGCGCAACUUUGCUUAACACGUUGUUCGCCACGUCGCCCAUAUAUGAGUGACAGAGCUUUUCACUGAAGAGCUCAAAAAAUUGAUUCCAAAAGUUUCCAGUAGUCUGUAAACAAAAUUUAAACACAGUAGCAAUUUUCAAGAGUAUCAGUCUGGCAAUCAACGUGUUAAUGGACAAAUCGAAACCUCCGUAAGGCUUUCGUGACUCAGGAAGGUCCUAUCUCGUUUUGAUGAAGUCCAAGCUCAAGUACUACGUAUGUAACCAUUCGUUCACGCUGUUUCCUAAUACUUUGAGGAACAUUCCAGCAGUCGAACAACGACAUUUCGUGCGUACGUACUAACGUAACGCCAACAAAAAAAUCACGAAAGAUCGUUUGCACGUUCCGCUUCAAGCAAACAGUUUUCCCUCUCGUUCUUGCCGGCGCUGUGCAUGCCGUACGCAGUUGAUAGAUUGCGCAAUAGAAAACGGUGGCAGGAAAUUGACUAUCCUGUAGAGAGGCGAUCAAUUAUACACCGGCACGUGUGAUCGAGCACACGCCUAGGAUAUCCAGCAUUUUUUUUUUAAAGGUACCAAGGAUUACUUCAUUUCAAUGUUCUUAAUUAACGCUCAAGGAACCGAACGUGGAGAUCUCUUUCGCGUCGCAUAGCUCAACCGACCAUUCCGUUCACGAAUCCUGUGUGGCGAGGUCUGCUCAGGCGUAACUCGGUCGAUUGCCCAAGUCUUAUCUCAAACUCGGCGACGUCUAAAGGUGUUUCUAACAAUCCUCGUCAAAUUAGGUUGUCUCGAAAAACUGCGCACAUUAACGAAAUAAGUGAGAGAGAGUUUGAAGAUUGAAAGUUUGAGAAUGAAAUUUACAUAUGCUUUGAAGGCUUUGAAAGGUUCGAUGGUUUUUAAUUUAUCAAAUUUUUCAAUAACGCCACACGGUCGUGUAAUCUAUACACGAAAUUGCUCGUACAGCUUUCGAUAUCAUUUUAAAUUAGUCCUAUUUGCCAAUUGACGAAUGCAUCAUUAACAAAUUUAGACAUAGGAAGGGUAUUUCAGUGGUGGGAGUUAAGAACGUCGAUACGCCUUGCAGCGACUAAAUGUACAUUGAAAUUAUAAAGAAAUAAGAAUCCGUAUAGAUUACUCGUCUGUUUGAAAUACCUGAAACCUCUGUCGUCAAACAAUCUUUACGUAUUUCGUGUCGGCAUGCAGAUUUUCGUGAGUAAAUUGUAGGUAAACACGUAACGUGUGUCACGAUGCGUCUUCGACCGCGUAAGCGCGGUGCAACGUGGAGUUUACGUAACUUUGCGCCGCAAAAAUCACCGGAAAUCCGGCGAAUCGUAUCGACGGAGGACGAAUCUUCGAUCGCGAGAUAAACUCGCACGAUCGGACUCGUGGGAGCUGGCGUGCAUCAUGGAAAGACGAUUGAACGCGAAUCCCAUGAAACGCGAAUUAAGGCCAGUGACGCGCUGGUUCUACAAAAGAGGAACUUCCGACGAUUAACGCCGUAAUUGUUACAUCCGAGAAUGGUUUACGUCGCGUAUAAGAAUGCAAGCCAUUUCACCUGAUAACCGAGUUAGGGAGUCCAUUCAAGGUCUCCUUUUAUUCAAACCCCGAGUUUUGAAAACGUUACGACUGAUAUCGUAAACCAAGUAAUUUGUUAUUACUUUGGCAAACUAAGCAUUUGUAAAUUUGAGGAGGAACGAAACGAAUCUUUGCGUCACUUCUAUACCUAUCUUAUCGUUUACGAGCCCGAGGAAUGAGUCAUUCGAUGAUCGCGAUCGCUUACCUUCGACCAAAUAAUCGCGCAAGAAGUCCAUAAAUAAAAAUAUUGCUUUUUCUCGUAACUGGAGUUCUUAGAGGGUGACAAAGUGUCAUUCUGGAGGAAGCAAAAUUGUUGAAUUGCGUUUUUGACCUUGAGGAAAUGUACCCAAGCAGUUGACUUUACUUCAAGAGCUACAAUCUUUCUUGAUUCAGAUUCGUAAUUUUUAUUAAGCGAGUCAGAAAUUGCACAUCUUUUCGAUUAAUCAUUCGAAAUUGUUAUCUACAUAAGAAAUUUGUCUAGUUUUCUAUGAAACACUUUCCGAUUAAGAGAGAUAAUACUAAUUGCGAAGCUAUCAUUUAAUUUACACCUGUGAUUAGAUAAGCGAAACAAAACAAACAACAACAAUAUGCAAUGUUUCCAUGAAAAGACGAAA